GUCGUAUCAAUUUAAAAGACUGCUCGG
rnacentral:rRNA from 1 species